rnacentral:lncRNA from 1 species
UGACUGCUAGUCCCUUGAUUUUCUGGUCCCUCGUGGACAAGGCGUACCACCCGUUGGGUAUAGAAAGGUUCGUUAAAAGAGACAGGUGCCCCAACGGCG